ensembl:lncRNA
AUUGAUUUAAAGUCACCUCUAGGGAGAAGUUUAAGGUGAGAAGCGCAGCAACGAUCUCCUAGGAGGCUGCGGUACCUGACACUGCCAUCAAUGUCUGGUUUAGUAUGUCUGAAGGGCUACAAUUACAGCAUGCUCCACUAGUUCUGUCAGAGGUCUCCCCAAGGAAUGUCUCUUUCCACAGAGCGCUGAGAUCUACUUCCUGACGGACACAAACACACUCCUGUGCGGCUGCCAGCCACCGCUGGCUGGGACUCCUCCACGCAGCGAGUUUCAGACCUGGGCCUCUGGCACCUUCACCGUGCUCACCCAGAUCACAGAGAUCACAUGUUACAAACCCGUUCAAGACUUCACACUAUUGAUAGGCUCUGCUUUUGCACAGAGGAGAUCAUCCAGUUAGAAAUAAAGACAGUAAACAACUAACGCGCUGACUUGGUGCGCCUGAGUUGCCGAG